UACGGAGGGUGCAAACGUUGCUCGGAAUUAUUGGGCGUAAAGCGCACGUAGGCGGCUUGUUGUGUCUGGUGUGAAAUCCCUCGGCUUAACUGAGGAAGUGCAUCGGAAACUAACAGGCUUGAGUACAGAAGAGGGUCGCGGAAUUCCCGGUGUAGAGGUGAAAUUCGUAGAUAUCGGGAGGAACACCAGCGGCGAAGGCGGCGACCUGGGCUGAUACUGACGCUGAGGUGCGAAAGCGUGGGGAGCAAACAGG
rnacentral:rRNA from 1 species